rnacentral:lncRNA from 10 species
CUGUGGAAGCUUUGUUCUUUCGCUCUUUGCAAUAAAUCUUGCUACUGCUAACUCUUUGGGUCCACGCUGCUUUUAUGAGCUGUAACACUCACCGCGAAGAUCUGCAGCUUCACUCCUGAGCCCAGCGAGACCAGGAGCCCACCGGGAGGAAUGAACAACUCCAGACGCGCUGCCUUAAGAGCUGUAACACUCACCGCGAAGGUCUGCAGCUUCACUCCUGAGCCAGCGAGACCACGAACCCACCAGAAGGAAGAAACUCUGAACACAUCUGAACAUCAGAAGGGACAGACUCCAGACGCGCCACCUUAAGAGCUGUAACACUCACCGCAAGAGUCCGCGGCUUCAUUCUUGAAGUCAGUGAGACCAAGAACCCACUAAUUCCGGACACAUUUUGGCGACCACGAAGGGACAGACUCCAGACGUGCCAACGCGCCACCUUAAGAGCUGUAACACUCACCGUGAGGGUCCGCGGCUUCAUUCUUGAAGUCAGUGAGACCAAGAACCCACCAAUUCCGGACACAUUUGGACUGCCUCCUGGGUCCUGCAGGAGCAAUCUGCUUCUUUCAGAGCGUCUUUCGGUUCUCUAGGCUUUCCUGCAGUAGUUCCGGAGCAAAGGUUCACGAUAUAUGUUUCCUUCUUUUUGCCAUUCUCUACGUUGUUUCCUACUUCAUCAUCACAAGAUACAAGAGAAAAUCAGAUGAACAAGAAGAUGAAGAUGCCAUCGUCAACAGGAUUUCGUUGUUUUUGAGCACGUUCACUCUCGCAGUGUCAGCUGGGGCUGUUUUGCUUUUACCCUUCUCAAUCAUCAGCAAUGAAAUCCUGCUUUCUUUUCCUCAGAACUACUAUAUUCAGUGGCUAAAUGGCUCCCUGAUUCAUGGUUUGUGGAAUCUUGCUUCCCUUUUUUCCAACCUUUGUUUAUUUGUAUUGAUGCCCUUUGCCUUUUUCUUUCUGGAAUCAGAAGGCUUUGCUGGCCUGAAAAAGGGAAUCCGAGCCCGCAUUUUAGAGACUUUGGUCAUGCUUCUUCUUCUUGCGUUACUCAUUCUUGGGAUAGUGUGGGUAGCUUCAGCACUCAUU